CUUGACAUCCAGAGAACUUGGCAGAGAUGCCUUGGUGCCUUCGGGAACUCUGAGACAGGUGCUGCAUGGCUGUCGUCAGCUCGUGUUGUGAAAUGUUGGGUUAACGUCCGCAACGAGCGCAACCCCUAUCCUUUGUUGCCAGCGAUUCGGUCGGGAACUCAAAGGAGACUGCCGGUGAUAAACCGGAGGAAGGUGGGGAUGACGUCAAGUCAUCAUGGCCCUUACGAGUAGGGCUACACACGUGCUACAAUGGCGUAUACAAAGAGAAGCGACCUCGCGAGAGCAAGCGGACCUCAUAAAGUACGUCGUAGUCCGGAUUGGAGUCUGCAACUCGACUCCAUGAAGUCGGAAUCGCUAGUAAUCGUAGAUCAGAAUGCUACGGUGAAUACGUUCCCGGGCCUUGUACACACCGCCCGUCACACCAUGGGAGUGGGUUGCAAAAGAAGUAGAUAGCUUAACCUUCGGGAGGGCGUUUACCACUUUGUGAUUCAUGACUGGGGUGAAGUCGUAACAAGGUAAGCGUAGCGAG
rnacentral:rRNA from 1 species